rnacentral:rRNA from 1 species
GAUGAACGCUGGCGGCGUGCCUAAUACAUGCAAGUCGAGCGGACAGACGAGGAGCUUGCUCCUCUGACGUUAGCGGCGGACGGGUGAGUAACACGUGGAUAACCUACCUAUAAGACUGGGAUAACUUCGGGAAACCGGAGCUAAUACCGGAUAAUAUAUUGAACCGCAUGGUUCAAUAGUGAAAGACGGUUUUGCUGUCACUUAUAGAUGGAUCCGCGCCGCAUUAGCUAGUUGGUAAGGUAACGGCUUACCAAGGCAACGAUGCUUAGCCGACCUGAGAGGGUGAUCGGCCACACUGGAACUGAGACACGGUCCAGACUCCUACGGGAGGCAGCAGUAGGGAAUCUUCCGCAAUGGGCGAAAGCCUGACGGAGCAACGCCGCGUGAGUGAUGAAGGUCUUCGGAUCGUAAAACUCUGUUAUUAGGGAAGAACAAAUGUGUAAGUAACUAUGCACGUCUUGACGGUACCUAAUCAGAAAGCCACGGCUAACUACGUG